UCAUUUCCGGGCGACUAGACGCGUGCGGCGCAUUUGCUUCGUGACUUGGCGUUGUGGAUACUAUCUGAUGGCUAACCCUAGUGUGGUCACAGGUAAAUGCCAGCGACAGCCAGUGUCCCUCCCUCCCUCCUCCUGUGUGUAAGUGUGUGUCCUGGAACAGGUAUGGUAUGAGAGGGAAUGAGACCGCCUACAGGUUGGAGAUUGACCAACUGGUGACGUGGUGCAGUCGAAACAACUUAGAGCUCAACGCCCUGAAGACAGUGGACUGUAGCCGACCCCUCUCACCCUGGACACAGACUCUUUGGCUCUUCUUCCAUCUGGCAGGAUGCUGCGGUCCAUCACGACCAAGACCUCUCACCACACAAACGGUUUUUCCCGUCAGCAGUUGGUCCGAGCCCCCCAUUGACUUGGUCAAUGUCUGUGAGAUUAAUGUUUCUUAAAUCUGAAAUACGUUGUUAUUUCAAAAGGUUUGAAAGAGGGUAUGUCUCUCCUGGUAACGUUACAGCUUUCCACCACCGCAUCAUCAAGCCUCCCAGAUGACUGAGGAGCAAACUCUUCCCUGGACUUCUCCGUCCCGCUAGAUGUCUGAGAAGCCAGAGGUCCCUACUCCACUUGGUUUAUACGCUGGUUAAAUGCUCAAAUAGCGGUUGGUAUUAUCUCCGCCUGUUCAUUAGAACGGGAAGUUAUUGUUUGAGGGAUGCCACUCGAUGUGUUUUCACUCAUCUGCACAGAUACAUUAUCUUUAGCAACAGCAGCAACAACAUUGCUAGCUUCAUGUACCCUCCUCGCCAGUGCAAAUAAUCGUUUAAGGUCAUUCUCUGCGCUCUGCAGAAGGAUCUGAUCCUCAUCAGAGCAGUCGUUAUCAUCAAUCACAUGAUCUUGCCCACAAUCCUCAGUACCACAUUUCAAAACUCUUCUGGGUGGCGACAUUUUACACACACGUAACAACCCUUUAUGACACCAAAAACGCUUACAGAUCUCCUCGGUUAAAUCUAUUUGUGAGUAGUUCAAUGAUAGUUGUACUGGAUUUCUUAUGUAUUGUCAUAUAAUUUUUUAUGGUUCGCUGGGUCUCGUCCUGUGCUUGUUUCAUCGAUCCAUGUACAGAGAUCAGUCAGGAAUGAUAAAUUAUGGUUGGAGCGGUCCAAAUCCGGGUUCUCCUUUUAAUAACUUGGCAUGUCGGUUAUUUGAGUCAGCGUCAUGAUUCACGCUCAUUUGCGGAACUAUUACUGGGAGUCUUGGCACAUUCUCUUCGGCAUUCGGUACAACCAGCACAGCAGGGCCUCUCUGCUCACCUGCGGCCUCCUGUUCUCACACCCUCUACAGCGCCUCUUCGAUGGCCUCAGCACAGCGGAAUAAUGUGUCGACGUAUCUUGGAAUAAAAAGUUCAGUCCCUUCAUUCAGUAUAGACGACGCCACCACAGCCCGUCUGCGGCAUAAUAAAAGAAAGAUGUUUAAAUACAUGUGUAUAUGCGCAAAUCUAAAAAUAUACCUCAAUUUGAUACACACCUUUUAACCUUUUUUCAGUCUUUAACCCCACCCACAUUUUUGGGAGGAAACCAUAGACCUUUGCAAAUAAAUUUGAAAGUUAUAUAAAGUAAAUAAAGAACAAACAUGUUAUAAAAAUAUUAUAUAACACACUAAUUACUUCAUUACCUCCCCAGGAUGCCUUGCUCGUUGAAGCUAUCGCAGGCCUUUUUACUGAGGGUUCAACCCACGUUGGUCCUUUUGUAGAAGACCCUGCACCUUUUCGAAAAUAUUUUACAAUGUUAUAUGAAGUAAAUAAAGAACGAAAAGGUUAUUAUAUCACACUAAUUACUUCAUUUUCACCUUCCAAAGAGGCCUUGCUUGUCGAUUGUGGUUGUUGUGGAAGGCUACUCAAUGCCUUGUUGAUGAUUUGGUUGAUUUGUUUUUCUAUUUCUUGAAGGUUUCUACUUUUGGUCUGCAGAGCUGUUUCCCCACAUAUUGUAAUUAGCUUUCCGCAAUCUUUAGGAUUCCGGUUGCAGCCGAUUACUUAAAGAUCUGUGCAUGCAUGUAAAUACAUUUUCGAUAAGUUAAAAAGAAAAUAAAACAAUUAGAAAUUUCUCGACCUCAUUGAUGCUCUAGGUAGUUAAUCUCUUAACGCGCUUAACUCUCUGUAGCUGCGUAGUGAAAAGAAGUUUCACUACGCAGCUGUUUGGUCACCUUGCAAACAAGGUGACCAAACACCUGCAGCUUUGUGGGAGUAUUUACGUACGAUUUUACAUGCAGUAUACUAAAAAACUGUGGCGGCCUGGGAAUUUCCGGUUAAAACACUUUCUGAUAACACUUAUAUGACUGGUCAUCCUCUCUGGGUUGUUUUGUCAUUACUUAUUACACACCUUUUAUAACAAAAUGAAAGGUUGUGUACUUUCUCUCAAACACCCUUUCUGAUAACACGUAUAUGACUGUUGUUGUUGUUUUAUCAUUACUCAUUCACCCCUUUUAUAACAUAAUGCAAGGUUGUGACCUCUCUCACACACACACACAGGCUUAUCUGAUGGAUAAUGGCGGCACGUGCACACCCACACGCAUGCACGUGCACGAGCAUACCUUCCUACCCCCAGAAUGUGCAAUAUUAUUACUGCUCACCUUCCUUGGGUUGAUAAUCAUCUCCUUGGUCUUGUUUGUAUUCAGGGAGAGAUUGUUAUUAUGACACCAGGCCACAAGUUCCUCCACCUCUCUUCUGUACGCCGCCUCAGCCCCACCAAGGAUGAUUCCAAUUACCGUAAUAUCAUCUGCGUCUGCUUAUACGUGAGCUCUACUGAUAUUAAUAGGGACGCAGUUAUCAUUAGUUCUAGACUUGCAGCGCUGUGUUUCCUAGAUGUAGGCGGAAUGCGUUUAUAUUAUUUUUAUCAGUAUGUAUUAAGAAUACAAUUAUGGUGUCAUUUGAACAGCAGGAAAGUAAGGAUAAGUCUUUAUGGGAAAAGCUGAAAUGAUGUAACUCAUCAAAGCCAACAUUCAGGAAUCCCCAGCCUCACUGAAUGGAAAUGACAAUAUGUGUAAUAUCUAAUCAGUUCAAUCGGUUGCAGCGUCAAAUCAAAUAAGUGACGAACAAGUCCGUCCUACACAUGCGUACAGGGGAAUGGAGCAGCUGGAACAGAUCAAAGGCGAUUGCAUGCAUACUUGCUCAGGCUCCUCAGAGUCCCCUCCUCAAUCCUUGAUUCUCACUCCUCCCUCUUAAUCCACAUGUGGUUUGGUUUUUAAAGUCUUUUCAAGAUUGACCAAAGUUCUUUUGAAAUAAAUGUUUGAUUGUACUACCUGUCAGAUUGCAAAGGUUAAUGGUUCAAACCCUAUUUAAUUUUCUUAUUUUCAUUCCCCCAGAUGUUUCACAUCUAACUUUGUGAGUGAUGUAUGAAAUAUAUAACUGGGCAUAAAUAUCUUUACUGGGAUUGAAAUCUGUAUUUCCUCUUGUGCAGGGCUUAAUUUUUCGUCUUUGUUCUCCAGUGAAGGAAAAGCGAGGCAUAAAAGGUAAAUUAUGCCUUCCAGCCAUGUUAUCCUGUCAAAUCCGUGGUGAGUAGCGAGGCAGCUGUAGACGUAGAUGUUGAGCUUCGACCGGGUGGGUUUCACUCACUUUGUAGCCUGUAAUUGCCAAUGACCUGGAAAACACCACAUCGCAGUUCACUUCUAAUUAUCCCAUGCAUGCUAAUCAUCGAGGAGACACUGUAAGGGAUGAUGAGGGCUAUAUAAAGCUGAAACCAAGGCAACGUUGUUGUCUUGGUGCUGCUGUUAAGCUCAAUAAAUACCUCACACUUGGCACACACUUCUAUGGUUAAAUCCAAGGGAAUUGAGGGACACGGGCAUGAACUUCUACAAAGAAAGAAAAUAUGGAGGUGAUACAUGUAGUAUUAACUUGUGUAUGUCCAGGAUUUAUUUGAUUUGUCCCUCCUCAAAUACAAUAAUACAAUUUCAUCUUCGGAUUCCAAAUAUCUUCAUGAGUUUUAAUUCCCUGAGCAGUUACGGCGUAAUUAUGCUGUGGUGUUGUUGCUUUCAGCUGAGAGGUGGCAGAAAAUAUAAACCAGGUGACUGACACUUUUGGAUUUGGACCAGCAAUCUUGCAACUGGGUUCUAUCCAUCUCAUGUCAGGCUAUAGUGACAGUUUAUAUUACAGUCUAUAUAUAUACAUUAUGUUACAGUAUAUGGUGACCAAACGCUACACCUCCAGCCACCAGUCUGUCAGGCUCCUGAAUUGCAGAUGACACCACCCUCAUUGGACUCUGGUGGGAAUGAGACCGCCUACAGGUUGGAGAUUGACCAACUGGUGACGUGGUGCAGUCGAAACAACUUAGAGCUCAACGCCCUGAAGACAGUGGACUGUAGCCGACCCCUCUCACCCCGGACACAGACUCUUUGGCUCUUCUUCCAUCUGGCAGGAGGCUGCGGUCCAUCACGACCAAGACCUCUCGCCACACAAACGUUUUUUCCCGUCAGCAGUUGGUCCGAGCCCCCCAUUGACCCAAAUACUCCAUCCCGGAAACAUUAUGCACUUUGGAUUCUUUCACCAUGCAAACAUAUGGACAUACAUAUGUGAAUACAUUUCUGUUUAUAUUGUUAAUUCUUGCUUGUAUAUUUGUCUUAUUUUACUUUAUUCUUUAUUGCACCAAUGCACAGAGUCCUCUAUAUGUAACCUGUGGCAAUAAAAGGCUUCUGAUUCUGGUUUUGA